CCUCAGCAACGGCGAGUGAAGCAGGCAACAGCUCAGAUUUGAAAUCUGGCCCCCCUUGGGGGUCCGAGUUGUAAUUUGCAGAGGAUGCUUCGGGUGCGGCCGCGGCGUAAGUCCCCUGGAACGGGGCGUCGCAGAGGGUGAGAAUCCCGUCUUGAGUCGCUGGUACCGCGCCCGUGUGAAGCUCCUUCGACGAGUCGAGUUGUUUGGGAAUGCAGCUCUAAAUGGGUGGUAAAUUUCAUCUAAAGCUAAAUACUGGCUGGAGACCGAUAGCGCACAAGUAGAGUGAUCGAAAGGUUAAAAGCACCUUGAAAAGGGAGUUAAAUAGCACGUGAAAUUGUUGAAAGGGAAGCGCUUGCGACCAGACUCGGCCGCGGAGGCUCAGCGGGCACUCGUGCCCGUGUACUCCCCCGCGGCCGGGCCAGCGUCAGCUCUGGCGGCCGGUCAAAGGCCCCUGGCAAUGUGUCGCCCCUCGGGACGUCUUAUAGCCAGGUGUGCAAUGCGGCCCGCCGGGACUGAGGAACGCGCUUCGGCACGGACGCUGGCAUAAUGGUCGUAAGCGGCCCGUCUUGAAACACGGACCUAGGAGUCUAUCAUCCACGCGAGUGUUCGGGUGUCAAACCCGUGCGCGCAAUGAAAGCGAACGGAGGUGAAAAUCCGCCUUGCGGGGCGCAUCAUCGACCGAUUCUGAAGUCUUCGGAUGGAUUUAAUUAAAACCCUGACUUGUUGGGGACCCGAAAGAUGGUCAACUAUGCCUGAAUAGGGCCGAACCCCGAGAAACUUUGGUGGGAGGCCUCCCAGGCGUUUCCUGAGUGCAAAUCCAUCGUCAAAUUUUGGUUU
rnacentral:rRNA from 2 species